ACGCCUGACUCUUGAAUCAUCAGUGAGUAAUGACGCGGAGCCCCGCAGGCAGACUCUCGGAUCUGGAUUUGAGCUUGAAUCCUUUGAUUUGUUUUCAUCAACACUAACAGCAUUCCCGCAGGCCCUUCACUUCAAAGCCCGGGGAGCUGGUGGCGGAGGGCCUGCAGCUACUGCACAGGGAGGCAGAAAGCAACCCAAACAUCAUUGCCACAGGUGCCAAGAUGAGCUGCGUUGGCUUCCUGUGAAGGCUCCAGCUAUGGAUUCCAAUCCCAGCCUCACCGCUUCCCAGCUGUGUAAACUUCGGCAAGUUUCUUAAACUCUCAGAGCCUCUUCAUCUGUAAACAAGGCUACUUACAGCUCCCCACUCAGCGUGUCCUGGUGAGGAUUAAGAGAGCUAACGGACGCGCUGCACUUUCUCCAUGUUAACUGUUACAAAGAGCUUUCAGGAGGGGUCUCCUGCUGGAUUCCCGUCGCUCCAUGGCUCCGAAACGCAGGCAGCCCUCCCAGGACUCCAAGCAGGGCCCAAAAUUUGUUUGUGAGGAUUUGCAUAAAAAGCUUUACUGAAUGGGAUUCACUGAAUGCAGAUGGCUCCUGGAGUUUGACUCUGGCCCAAAGUGAAGGCUGCCUGGGAUGCAAAGGAGAAGCUCUCAGCCCAGUCUGCUGGGGAAGCACCUGUCAUUGGUUUGGGCCUGGCAGCGUGGUCUCCAAGGAGACGGUUGCAUGUAGAUUCUUGGCAGAGGCCUUGGUAUUACCCAGACAUUGUCCCCCGCCCUGCACGGAGGGAGUGACUCCAACAGUAAGGAGUCUGGCAGCACUGCAGGGGAUGGCAUGGAAGCUUUGAGUGGAGCCUCCCAGAAGCCUGCAGCAUGACAUGGAGCUAUCUGCUGCUCAGUCAGAGACCCAGGCCUUCCAAGACUCCCAGUGGCUCUGUCCCUGGGCACUGAGGGUGGGCCAAAUGGGCUUCCCACUUCACCAACCUGCACCCAUUUCCUGGCUGGACCAGGCAUCCUGGGGGAGUUACAUGAGGCUCCCUGCUGGUUAAGGCUCCAAGCCCACCUUGGUCUUCUGGGCUGGGUCCCUCAUGCUCCUCCUCUCCUUCCAUAUCAUCCCACCCUCCCUACCCCUGCCAGCCCCAUUUGUUCUCUGUUCCUCGCUCUCCCACCUCCUCUGUCUCCUAGGUGUCUGCCCACCCCUGCCUUUCUCAGUCGCCACACAGCUCAUGGCCAUGUCCACGCCCCCCCAGACCUCAUCCCCAGUAAUAUCAACCACAACCAUAACCAAUGUUUAUUACGCACCUAUUAUGUCCUA
rnacentral:lncRNA from 1 species